UGGGAAAGAGUUAGCCUAGUCUUCUCUGCC
rnacentral:piRNA from 1 species